AUGGGCUCGCGUCUGAUUAGCUAGUUGGUGAGAUAACAGCCCACCAAGGCGACGAUCAGUAGCCGGUCUGAGAGGAUGAACGGCCACAUUGGAACUGAGACACGGUCCAAACUCCUACGGGAGGCAGCAGUGGGGAAUAUUGCACAAUGGGCGCAAGCCUGAUGCAGCAACGCCGCGUGAACGAUGAAGGUCUUCGGAUCGUAAAGUUCUGUUGCAGGGGAAGAUAAUGACGGUACCCUGUGAGGAAGCCCCGGCUAACUACGUGCCAGCAGCCGCGGUAAUACGUAGGGGGCUAGCGUUAUCCGGAUUUACUGGGCGUAAAGGGUGCGUAGGUGGUCUUUCAAGUCGGUGGUUAAAGGCUACGGCUGCAACCGUAUUAGCCUCCGAAACUGGAAGACUUGAGUGCAGGAGAGGAAAGUGGAAUUCCCAGUGUAGCGGUGAAAUGCGUAGAUAUUGGGAGGAACACCAGUAGCGAAGCGGCUUUCUGGGACUGCAACUGACACUGAGGCACGAAAGCGUUGGGUAGCAAACAGGAUUAGAUACCCUGGUAGUCCACGCUGUAAACGAUGAGUACUAGUGUCGGGGGUUACCCCCCUCGUCCGCAGCUACGCAUUAAUAC
rnacentral:rRNA from 1 species